GGUUUGAUUCUGGCUCAGAUUGAACGCUGGCGGGAUGCUUUACACAUGCAAGUCGAACGGCAGCACGGACUUCGGUCUGGUGGCGAGUGGCGAACGGGUGAGUAAUGUAUCGGAACGUGCCUAGUAGCGAGAUAACUACGCGAAAGCGUAGCUAAUACCAUACGCCCUUCGGGGAAAGCGGGGGACCUUCGGGCCUCGCACUGGUAGAAGCGGCCGAUAUCGGAUUAGCUAGUUGGUGGGGUAACGGCUCACCAAGGCGACGAUCCGUAGCUGGUUUGAGAGGACGACCAGCCACACUGGGACUGAGACACGACCCAGACUCCUACGGGAGGCAGCAGUGGGGGAAUUUUGGACAAUGGGGGGAAACCCUGAUCCAGCCAUCCCCGCGUGUGCGAUGAAGGCCUUCGGGUUGUAAAGCACUUUUGGCAGGAAAACAGCACGGGAUAAUACCCCGUGCAACUGACGGCCUGCAGAAUAAGCACCGGCUAACUACGUGCCGGCAGCCGCGUGCGUAGGGUGCAGGCGUUAAUCGGAAUUACUGGGCGUAAAGCGUGCCGCAGGCGGUUCGGAAAGAAAGAUGUGAAAAUCCCAGAGCUUAACUUUGGAACUGCAUUUUUAACUACCGAGCUAGAGUGUGUCAGAGGGAGGUGGAGAUUCCGCGAUGUAGUGAUACGUAGAUAUGCGGAGGAACACCGAUGGCGAAGGCAGCCUCCUGGGAUAACACUGACGCUCAUGCACGAAAGCGUGAGGAGCAAACAGGAUUAGAUACCCUGGUAGUCCACGCCCUAAACGAUGUCAACUAGCUGUUGGGGCCUUCGGGCCUUGGUAGCGCAACUAACGCGUGAAGAUUGAUAGCCGCCUGGGAAGUACGGUCGCAAGAUUAAAACUCAAAGGAAUUGACGGGGACCCGCACAAGCGGUGGAUGAUGUGGAUUAAUUCGAUGCAACGCGAAAAACCUUACCUACCCUUGACAUGUCUGGAAUCCCGAAGAGAUUUGGGAGUGCUCGCAAGAGAACCGGAACACAGGUGCUGCAUGGCUGUCGUCAGCUCGUGUCGUGAGAUGUUGGGUUAGAACCCGCAACGAGCGCAACCCUUGUCAUUAGUUGCUACGAAAGGGCACUCUAAUGAGACUGCCGGUGACAAACCGGAGGAAGGUGGGGAUGACGUCAAGUCCUCAUGGCCCUUAUGGGUAGGGCUUCACACGUCAUACAAUGGUCGGGACAGAGGGUCGCCAACCCGCGAGGGGAGCCAAUCCCAGAAACCCGAUCGUAGUCCGGAUCGCAGUCUGCAACUCGACUGCGUGAAGUCGGAAUCGCUGGUAAUCGCGGAUCAGCAUGUCGCGGUGAAUACGUUCGGGUCUUGUACACACCGCCCGUCACACCAUGGGAGUGGGUUUUACCAGAAGUAGUUAGCCUAACCGUAAGGAGGGCGAUUACCACGGUAGGAUUCAUGACUGGGGUGAAGUCGUAACAGGUAG
rnacentral:rRNA from 1 species